GACGAACGCUGGCGGCGUGCUUAACACAUGCAAGUCGAACGGAAAGGCCCUGCUUUUGUGGGGUGCUCGAGUGGCGAACGGGUGAGUAACACGUGAGUAAACUGCCCUUGACUUUGGGAUAACUUCAGGAAACUGGGGCUCAUACCGGAUAGGAGCUCCUGCUGCAUGGUGGGGGUUGGAAAGUUUCGGCGGUUGGGGAUGGACUCGCGGCUUAUCAGCUUGUUGGUGGGGUAGUGGCUUACCAAGGCUUUGACGGGUAGCCGGCCUGAGAGGGUGACCGGCCACAUUGGGACUGAGAUACGGCCCAGACUCCUACGGGAGGCAGCAGUGGGGAAUAUUGCACAAUGGGCGGAAGCCUGAUGCAGCAACGCCGCGUGCGGGAUGACGGCCUUCGGGUUGUAAACCGCUUUCGCCUGUGACGAAGCGUGAGUGACGGUAAUGGGUAAAGAAGCACCGGCUAACUACGUG
rnacentral:rRNA from 1 species